rnacentral:rRNA from 1 species
AUAUUGUUCAAUGGAGGCAACUCUCAACCACCCAAGACGCGUGAAGGAUACCUGCCCUACGGGUUUUAAACUUCUUUUUUAAGGGAAUAAAGUGAGCCACGUGUGGCUUUUUGCAUGUACCUUACGAAUACGGAUCGGCUACCUCUGUGCCCGCAGCCGCGGUACUUCGGAGGAGCCGAGCGUUACCCGGAUUUAUUGGGUUUAAAGGGUGCGCAGGCGGAAUAUUAAGUCGGAGGUGAAAGUUUGCAGCUUAACUGUAAAAUUGCGGUUGAAACUGGUUUUCUUGAGUGUAUAUGAAGUAGGCGGAAUUUGUAGUGUAGCGGUGAAAUGCAUAGAUAUUACAAGGAACUCCGAUUGCGAAGGCAGCUUACUAAAAUACAACUGACGCUCAGGCACGAAGGCGUGGGUAUCAAACA